CUGGACCAGUCCCCACAAUUCCUCCCCCCAGCGAAAUUUCCUCCAUCUCCCGUCAGUCGCUCCCCCACCCUCUCCCUCUCUCAUCCGCAAGCGUCGGCUAGGGUUCCACCGCCGCCCACCGUCCCCGAUGCCGAUGCCGAUGCCGCCCACCAACCCCAUCUCGAUCGUCGCUGGUGCCCCUCACCUCGAGCGCGGACACUGGCCGUCACAGCGUAGGCCGACACCAGCUACUCGAGCUUCGCCGUCACCGGAGCCCCUCACGUCUAGCGCGGACACCGACCAUAUAAGCACAGGAUGACGCCACCCACAGUGCGUAGCUCGGCCUCCUCCGCCCCUCACAAGCGCGGCCACCCUCCAAGUUGCCGACCUCCAUGAUGCUGUGUUCCACAACGCCCUUUUCCUGGAAGACGCUAUGCUCCCGAAGGUCGCCGCUACCCUACCCCUCACGAGGACGAGGAUGCCGUCGCCCCUCAUCCAGUUCGACGUUGUUUUCCAGGAAGCCUCCGUGUUCCAGGAGGCCUUCGCCGGCCUGCCAGUCACGAGGACGCCACCGCCCCUCACCCAGCUCGACGGCGCAUUGCUACUACAACGCGGCGGGAUAACAUCACUACAAAUGGAAGGUACCUGAAAUUGGUUGCAAUUGUGCACAUUUUUUAACAGUUCUGCACACGGAAGAUAUAGAUUUGGUAUCCAACUGACCAACUCAUCUCAAAUACUAUGAAAAAAUGAGUUUACAAGAUCUAAUAUACUGUUGGAGAAAUUACAUGAAUAAUUCAAUGUGAAACAUCACAGCUUGCUCUGCAGGAUUAUGUUUGUAAUCAGGGAUAUAUGUCUAUGCUCUCUUAGGAAUGGAUUUCUUUGCUUUCAUGAACGGGUCAGAUACAUGGAGAGCUCCCGAAUUAGCUUCUUCUAUACCAAUGUCAAUUUGUCUUGGGUAAAUGAGAGUCAAUGGGUUUCUGUAACACCAAUUUUGGUAAGCCUACAUAAUGGUUAGAAUGAGUUAUGCAACUGAUAAAUCAAAAUUCGCAAGCACUCCUAUAUUUUCAUGUAGAACAAGAUUUUUGUAUAUAAAUAUAUAGGUACAAAAAGGAAGAUCUAUGGUUUCACCUGACAGAAUAUUAGUUUCAUGUUGAUCAGAGUUGUAGAGAAAUAAGUUACAGUCCGUUUAAUCCUUUUGUACCAUGAAUUGAUAUGGAUAUUGUGAUUUAUAAUUUUAUGGCCUUUUUUCUGCUAUAAUAUUUGUUACUACAUUUUGACCCGUACAGCUAUUUAUUUAUCCGCAUAUCAUAAUUGCAACUUUUAAAUUGGCUUAGCUACUUCCUCCAAUGUUGCAGCUUCUACUCUUCCAAGUAGAAACAAUGACAGAAACAGUGAAAUUAAUUUAAAUCUAGGGAUGACGGAAAUAUAUAUUCCUCAUCUCGCCAACCCCUGAAAAUGUCAGGCCUCAACUUUAGAUAAUGAUUCUGAGUAGAUUGGAUGCAAGGCUAUACUUCUAGAUUUUUAUGUGGACCAUGAUUGUAUUUAGAGUUUGAGGCACUAAUUUAGAUGUUUACACCAUCAUAUUUGAUGGAGAAUAAAAAAAUUCGAAGUGGUGAUAAAUAAACAGAGCCAUUUGGUUUUACUUGCAACUGUCGGUUCAUCUGCACUCCGCAAAGCAUGAGAAGGUGGUGAGUGUUUUAGUUGUUCAGCCAAGAGGAGUUUGGUGGGUUAAUCAUCUCACCCCAAGAGCAUUAACAUUUUUCACUAUCACCUGGAAUGUUAAGCAUGAACAUUUUCUCACUUUGUUAUAUCAAUCAGUACUUUUGUUGUGGUCGUUCUUGGGAGCAUGCAUGUGCAUUUUACAGUAUUCAUUUAUAAAGGAUGCAUAUGUGUGUGCUUUUGAUCUCCGAAAAUAUCUCCCAGUUCUUGUAGUGCUUUGACAUGAGAACAAGUGCAGAGUUCAGAGAGACCAGACCCCCUCUCAAUCAUGCAUGCAAUAAAUCGCUAUUAUUUAUUAAAUGAUGGAUUUCUGCUCCUAAUAAACUGAAAUUGUGCUACUCCUGGUACAAUCAUUUACUAAUAAUCGUGUUUGCGAAAUGAGUACAGUUUGGCCAUGUACUUAUCUAAGCCCAUGGAGUUGCCAGCUUUCAUUUUGUUUUGCAAGUUCCUUCCCGUACGAUGUGGUUGUUUGAGACAAGGUUCGAGAUUUAUGUUUUGCAAGCUAAUUUAUAGGAUCUGGGCAUUGUUGUAACUAUUUUUUUCAAUCAAAUCAUAACUUAUCCAACAAUCAUUGCGGAGUGUGGCGGUUGUAUGCAGAACCAUGCAUGUUCUGAAAUUAUCCUUCCACAUUAUUAUUAGCCAUGUCUUUUUUUGGAUGUUUCGUAUUUUAGUGUGUCUUUGUCUUGAUUUUAACAAAGACGCCUAUUUACCGGCUGAGGCAAGAAGCGUGAAUGCCUACCGUCAGGUUUUAGUGAUGGUAAUGAAAAAAAAGAAUGUUUCCAGGUGCAUGUUUGAUAGAAUUUCCUUCGAUGUUAUGUUCAGAAUCUUAUAUCUAUUUGCAUGUCAUGUAUUUAGAAUAGCAUGUCAUGUUAUAUUUUCAUGUAAUACUUUACUGCAUAUAUGUUUUUGAUAGAUCAUUGUUGAUGUAGGACAAUGGGAGCAAUCUCUACAGAUCUUUGGUGAUAUUUCAGAAUGGUGUUUCCCUGUAAGAACAUUUUGGAACAUGCAACUUUAAUUAUGAUGAUACUGACACUUGAUUAGUAGACGGGGUGAAAGGUGCUCUAGCAAGAUCAUGACAUAAGGACAGGGAUGACAUAUCAUGAUGGGGAAGAUGGCAUUUAUUAUUACUGUAGAGAAGUAGAAGGUCCAGGUAAUCCGUGAGAGGUACCAGAUAAACAACUUGAUGUUACAGUGAUGAACAAGCUAAGAAGGUACCUGUGAAGGUACUCAAAUGAUAUGAACUGAAGCUCUGUAUUUUGAUUGGUUGUCCAGUCUGCGUUGAAUAUUAAAUUUCCGCACUUCUUCUGUCAUACUCAGGCUUUUGCAGAGAUAUUGUCCGACUAAGUUAUCGUGGGCUAGAUAAAAUUUUAAAUCCUUGGGCAAUUAUAAAAGUGUGACAAUUAAUAUUGAGAAACUAAGGGCUGGUUUACAAAGGUUUGUACCAAAUUAUAUGAAACAAAAUUUUGUGGAGCCGGCAUGCUCAUACAUCAUGGUGACAUAUAGCCUUGACAUUCUACAUUUUUCUUAAUCUGUAUUUGCAUACUUGCCAUGUUUCCACUAUUAUCGGUACCUUUCACCAUGAUUAGCAUGAACCUCAUAAAACAUGGCUAGACAAAUUACUCCAGCAUGAAUGACCAUUGUGUUAGGCUUACGUGUACUUAACGUAACUCAAAUUGAGGCGGAUAUGUAGUUAUUUCAUAGCCACCAUCAUCUUAGCCAGUGUUUCUAUCAGUGCCAGCAACUCUAGCCACCCCCAGGCCAGCCAAUCAAGAUCUCCUAGAACCUUUUAUAUUGAAAAUUGCAGAACAUAAACUUCUCUGAAUAUUAACAUGCAUGUGCCUUUGACAAGGAAGACUAAUUGAGUUGUGACAGUAUCUAUAAAAUUUGUGCAAAUGUUAUUGAGCUUUGAGAUGUGAAGUUGAGCUUCAAGCUGAGAUUGCACGGCAUGAAGUUUUUAGUCCUAAACAUAAUAUUCAGGUAAGUCUUGCUGAACAAUAACCGCUUGCUGGAUGAUAACCAAAGAGAUUUUCCAAGUAAGUACAUUCUUAUGUCUAUCCAAAAUUACUAAAUAUAUUAGUAUUCUGUAGUCAAUAUUUUCUGAAAUGCAUUUGUUUCUUUUCCCCAGGUUCUUUAUGUAAUCAAGCGAAGAGGAAAGGGAGCAUGCCGAGAAGCUAAUGGAGUACCAGAUAUCAUUGAAUUCCUUGGCCCUUUAGUUGAUGUAGCAUUGUGCCGCGAGUGCUAGCUAGAAACUGACUAAAUAAUACGGAGUAAUGUCAUCUUCUUGUCUCAUAAACUUUCUUGAGGUUGAGGUAUAUGAGUUUUAUAUGUGGAUCACACUAAUGCUUCAAUGAUACUUCCCGUUACUCAAAUUCA